GCGAAGAUGAAUUCAAUGGUGGCUUUGGGGAAGAAAUUCACGAGAAAUAUUCAAGAUAACAAACGCAGAUUGUUGUCUGCUAAGUAUGAAUUGAGGCGAAAGUUGUAUAAAGCUUUUGUUCAAGAUCCUCAACUUCCUCCUGAAAUGCGAGAAGCUCAUCAGUACAAGCUUGCCAAGUUGCCCAGAAACAGUUCCUUUACGCGAAUCAGAAAUCGGUGCAUUUUUACUGGUCGACCUCGUGCCGUUUAUGAAAAGUUUCGAAUGUCUCGUAUUGUUUUUCGUGGUUUGGCUGCUCGUGGUGCUUUGCAAGGUGUAAAGAAAGCUUCUUGGUAGACAAUACAAUACCCAGGAUUUCUUCUUUUCAAGAUUUAGGAGUAUUACUACUGGAUAUCAUAUACUAAAGCCUCUAGUAGAUUACAGUGGGACAAGGUUUUCAAUUUCAG
rnacentral:misc_RNA from 1 species